GGAGUUAGCCGGUGCUUCUUCUGUGAGUGAUGUCCUUCCUGCCGGCUAUUAACCCGCAGGCCUUCUUCCUCACUGAAAGUGCUUUACAACCCGAAGGCCUUCUUCACACACGCGGCAUGGCUGGAUCAGGGUUGCCCCCAUUGUCCAAUAUUCCCCACUGCUGCCUCCCGUAGGAGUCUGGGCCGUGUCUCAGUCCCAGUGUGGCUGAUCAUCCUCUCAGACCAGCUACGGAUCGUCGCCUUGGUGAGCCGUUACCUCACCAACCAGCUAAUCCGACAUAGGCUCAUCCGAUAGCGCGAGGCCCGAAGGUCCCCCGCUUUCCCCCGUAGGGCGUAUGCGGUAUUAGCCUGGGUUUCCCCAGGUUAUCCCCCACUACCGGGCAGAUUCCUAUGCAUUACUCACCCGUCCGCCGCUCGCCACCAGGGAGCAAGCUCCCGUGCUGCCGCUCGACUUGCAUGUGUUAGGCCUGCCGCCAGCGUUCAAUCUGAGCCAGGAUCAAACUCUGA
rnacentral:rRNA from 1 species